rnacentral:lncRNA from 10 species
GAGCUUGGUCCUAAUAAGUACACAAAAUUUUAUUGGACAUCUCUUAAGUACCACAAAUGAGAGGCGCAAAUCCUUUUGGUCUCACUCCUUGGAGUUAAUGCUUGCCUGGACAGACUUAAGCAAUAGCAGACAGAUGUCAAUAGAUACAUGUUUCUUCCUUUUGUUCCCCAAGCAAACAGUUCUGAGACACAUUUAAAAGAAGAUUCCAUAAACAUUGAGUAUCAGUCAUCCAAUUUAACAGCUCAAUAAUACAUCACAGUAUACCCCACCCACCACCACCGCCAUUUCCUGUUCAAUUCCCCUGAUCCCUCACUUUAGCACAAUGGGAUCACUACCAAGUAAACUUCUUGCUCAUUAGCCUUUGUUCUAGAUCAGGGGAUGUCCAAUCUUUUGGCUUCCCUGGGCCACGUGGAAGAAUUGUCUUGGGCCACACAUAAAAUACACUAACACUACUGAUAGCUGAUAAGCUAAAAAAUAAAAAUAAAUUUUAAAAAAUCUCAUAAUGUUUUAAGAAAGUUUAGGAAUUGGUGUUGGGCCACAUUCAAAGCUGCCCUGGGCCUCAUGGGGCCACUGGGUUAAGUUAAAUCAAGACACCAUUGUUCACAAAGUCGAGAGGUAACAGCCAUGCUCAUAAUUUCAACUGAAAAGUCUUACUCAAAAUGGUUAGGUAGUAAGAAAAAUUAUCUCAAGUAAGAUGUCCAGAGGUAAGGGGUAUUACACCAGGACUUUCCCUUUGCUUUUCUGAGAUCCUCUUGGCUCUGCCAUCCUGUUUAUUGGCUUCAUCCUCAGGCUGUGAGAUGACCUCAAAAUUCU